rnacentral:lncRNA from 1 species
AAACUUUUGCAUAUUUGCACUUUUGCCCCAAGGUUCAGAAAUUAAACUUCAUCCUAUUUUCUUAUGUUUUAUGACAUGCUGAUCAUUUUUUCCUUCUAUGGCAACAUCAAAUUCUCACUCUAACAUGUACUUAUGACUAUUAGGUAUUUUUACCGAUUAAGCCCUUUUGCUCGUUUUCACUUAAAACCAAGUAGCACAAGUUG